rnacentral:rRNA from 2 species
ACCUCGGAUCAGGUAGGAAUACCCGCUGAACUUAAGCAUAUCAAUAAGCGGAGGAAAAGAAACCAACAGGGAUUGCCCUAGUAACGGCGAGUGAAGCGGCAACAGCUCAAAUUUGAAAUCUGGCUUCGGCCCGAGUUGUAAUUUGUAGAGGAUGCUUUUGGUGAGGUGCCUUCUGAGUUCCCUGGAACGGGACGCCAGAGAGGGUGAGAGCCCCGUAUAGUCGGCCACCGAUCCUCUGUAAAGCUCCUUCGACGAGUCGAGUAGUUUGGGAAUGCUGCUCAAAAUGGGAGGUAUAUCUCUUCUAAAGCUAAAUAUUGGCCAGAGACCGAUAGCGCACAAGUAGAGUGAUCGAAAGAUGAAAAGCACUUUGAAAAGAGGGUUAAAUAGCACGUGAAAUUGUUGAAAGGGAAGCGCUUGUGACCAGACUUGUGCCGGGCUGAUCAUCCAGUGUUCUCACUGGUGCACUCGACCCGGCUCAGGCCAGCGUCGGUUCUCGUAGGGGGAUAAAAGCUUCGGGAACGUGGCACCUUCGGGUGUGUUAUAGCCCGUUGCUUAAUACCCUUGNGNGGACCG